GACCCGGUGGCGGACGGUCCGCAUCUGCCCUUCAUCAACACUCAAGCUAGAUGCAUAAGGUUAACAGCAGAAGGCGCCCGUUCGACUCGGGCCUGGGUCA